rnacentral:rRNA from 1 species
AGCAGCCGCGGUAAUUCCAGCUCCAAUAGCGUAUAUUAAAGUUGUUGCAGUUAAAAAGCUCGUAGUUGAACCUUAGGCCCGUGCGGGCGGUCCGUCCUCAGGGCGAGCACUGCCUCGUCGCGGGUCUCACCUUCUGGCGAGCGUGGAUGCCAUUCACUUGGUGUCUGCGGGAACCAGGACCUUUACCUUGAAAAAAUUAGAGUGCUCAAAGCGGGCUCUUACGCUUGAAUACAUUAGCAUGGAAUAAUGAAAUAGGAUGACCGUUCUAUUUUGUUGGU